AUUGAACGCUGGCGGCAGGUUUAACACAUGCAAGUCGAGCGGGGUGAUGGUGCUUGCACUAUCACUUAGCGGCGGACGGGUGAGUAAUGCUUAGGAAUCUGCCUAUUAGUGGGGGACAACAUCUCGAAAGGGAUGCUAAUACCGCAUACGUCCUACGGGAGAAAGCAGGGGAUCACUUGUGACAUUGCGCUAAUAGAUGAGCCUAAGUCGGAUUAGCUAGUUGGUGGGGUAAAGGCCUACCAAGGCGACGAUCUGUAGCGGGUCUGAGAGGAUGAUCCGCCACACUGGGACUGAGACACGGCCCAGACUCCUACGGGAGGCAGCAGUGGGGAAUAUUGGACAAUGGGGGGAACCCUGAUCCAGCCAUGCCGCGUGUGUGAAGAAGGCCUUAUGGUUGUAAAGCACUUUAAGCGAGGAGGAGGCUCUUUUGGUUAAUACCCAGGAUGAGUGGACGUUACUCGCAGAAUAAGCACCGGCUAACUCUGUGCCAGCAGCCGCCGUAA
rnacentral:rRNA from 1 species